ensembl:lncRNA
AUGAAUAUAUAUAUAUAUAUAUAUAUAUAUAUUUUUUUUUUUUUUCAGUAACUUAGCUUCUUGCAUUGAAGUUGAUCCAAAUGUUAAUGACUCCAGUCAGGUGCAUAAGGCUUUUAGGCACAAAAGAUGGCUCUCAGAGGCAGGAUGUCUUCUCAGCCCUUUACACGAUCCCCUUAGAGCACGUUUAUGUAGGCAACAGAUGCCAUACUUAUAUUUUCACAGUGGCUUGAAUUUUUUUCCUUUAUUCUGCACUAUUACACUGUCUCACCUACGCUGAUGUAUCAUUAGCUACAAUUAUUGUGUAUUGGUACGAUUAUUGUGUUAUCAUUCACCGUGUUGGAGUUUCAUUUGCCCUAUUUUUGUGAGAGGAAUGGAACAAAGUUCUCCACUAACCAGCAAACAGGAUGGGGAGAGGCAUCUUUUAAGAACACACACACAUGUGACAAUACACAAGGUAAAUUAUAAGCUAUAAUUAAAAAUAUGUGGAAACCAACAUCACUGGGUCCUUCCCAAGCUAAAGAUCUCUGGGAAAUACGCAACAAUUUGUAGCUGCCCUCGUUCUAUUUUCACUGCAAAAUAUUUUUCUCCAUGUACACGGUAUUGUUACAAGAGGAUUUGGGUGCUUGUGAAUUAAGGAAAUCUUCCAAAUAAGGGGGAAAAAAACAACAGAAACCUCAUUCACAAAUGUGUCUGUUUUCAGCAGUGUUGAUAGCAUUUUGUGGAGAUGCCGGAAUCAAUGAAAGCCUGUUGCGAGCACAUUUGUUAAAAGUACCUAACCGCUUUCAAAGUUUUCAUAACUUUUCAUUUCGUAGAAGAAAUCUAUGCUUUUUUUUUUUUUUAAUGAACUUUAUAUCAUAGGAAGAGGCUGAACAUGGGGCUUGGCUGUAAGGACUUUGCAAACCAGACCACACAUUGUUCUGAGAACAGCACAGUCAGGCUUCCCAGUCUCGGGUGCCAGGACCCCCCCCCACCCCGGGAGCGCCUGUUGGAAGCUCGCUCCCCUUCCAGAGCCGACUUCGACGUAAGCACGGCCGCCACGUCCGGUGCAUCGAAUCGCUGCAUCGCCCUGACGUUUCCUGCAAAGUCAGUGGCCACGUGAUUUCUGUGAAGGUAGCAGUUUUCACAGAUCAGUGCUGCUUCAACAUCACAAUCAGCACCCAGCUGGAAGUAAGCAAAUUUCUCGAGCCUCCUACAGAAGAUGUGCCCGAUGGAAACCAGAUACCCGAUUUUGAAGAUUUUUAUUACUGAUGAGAACACGAGCAUCUCGUACCCUUACCGUAAAAGGAAAUGUCACAGCUUCUCAUAUAAUGGAACUUGAUGUGCUUGGAAAAUAUAUUUCUUCAAAUCUCAUCUACAGAGACUUUGUUGGGCUCAACGUGUAAUUAAAUUGGAACUUGUUGAAAUACGGCCGCAUCUCAAAUGUACUUACAUGUGAUACAUGAUAUGAAGGGCUUCUAAGAGAGAAAAUUCUUCCUGGUGUAGGCUUUCCUGUGCGUUAAUAAUCAGAGAAUCAAACUGGGCACAACACAUGACCAAAUUCUUGGGGGAA